GGGUCUGUGUGUCUGUCUAUAUGCUGUUUCUUCCCCGGGAUAGACCAGGAAUGGAGUCUUAGAACUUUUAAGGAAGAGGUGGACACUGAAGGAAGAUGGAAAUACUGGGAGGGAGCUAUGAGCCUCUGGUGAAACAAAGGUCCAGGAUGAGGAGGACAGAAGGUCCCAGCUGCUGCUGGCUCUGACUCUCCACAAACCUAGUAGAGUGGAGCAACCCCCCUCACCUUCACUUAUCUAUGGAUGCCACCACUAUGUCAUGGCAGGAGAAAGCUCCCUACUCAAUGGAGUCACAUGCAGAAGACAGCAGCCUACCCAGCAAGCUGUUUUGCUUCGCUUCCCUACCUCAUUCAGAAUACUUUAACAACCUCUCUCGUCACCUACUGUUCUGCAAUAUGGUCCUAAUCCAAGUCCAACUGAAGUAAAUGGAAAGAGUCCCACUGACUUUUGCGGACUUUGAAUCAGGCCAUAUGGCAGUAGACUAAGGGCCUAUCCACACAGAAAGUGUGCAACAAGCCAGGGUAUGAAUCUACAGGGUGCCACUCAUUAACUGGCUGUGUAGACCUUGCUAGGCACAAAGUGCACUGUGGAACUUUUAGUGCACAGUACCAGGAUCCACACAAUGACUCAGUGUGUGGCAGGCUGGUGUGAUGUAGGUUCACACCCUGGCUUGUUGUGCACUAACUCUCCAUGUAGGCAAGCCCUAAGUAUGUAGCCAACAAGAGAUGCUCAGAGUAGCAAGGAGCAUUCUUCACCUGGGACUUCUGGUACAGCAAGCAGGGAAUGGGGAAGAUGGGAGGUCUCUGGAGGAGGGAGGAGGAGCCAUAAAGGGAUAGGGAGAGAUAUGGUAAGGAAGAACUAGGGGAGUGAGUGGUGAGAGAGGCAACCUAGCCUCCUUGGAAGCAAUAUAUUUCUUAUGGCAUUAAACAGCAUCCUCCAACUAAGAGUCGAAAUGACAGAGAUGAGGGUAGCAGGGAUCACUCUGUUGUUGGGACUCAAUCAAUUAAUAAUCAAUCCAUAAAUAAAUUCCCAUAAAAAGUAAAAUAUCUUCACCACUGUUAAUGAAAAUGUAGGUGAAAUUUUUCAAAGCGGGGGCCAAAUAUUCCAAAUACAGAUACCUAAACUUAGGCAUCCAAAUCCACUUUAAAGCUCUUAAAUAGCCCCCAGCAGUUUUCAGAAUAUCUGAGCACUGCAGCUCCUAUUAUCUUCAGUGGGAGUUGUGGCUGCCUAGCACUUUGGAAAAUCAGGCCAGUUUUAUAUAGGUGCCUAAAUGUCGAUUUAGAUGUUUAACUUUAGACACCCAACUUUGAAAAUGUUUGCGUUACUAUAGAUGGAUACAGUAUUUUUACAUAGUUUAAGAGUGGCACAGUAAAAAGCACUUUUUUGGUAGGAAAAUGUAUAAAAUUGUACUGUUAAUGGAACAGAUUCCUCAUUUUUAGUAUGUUCAAGAGAUUCUGGCCACAAAAGUAAUAUGUACAUUAAAAUGAAGAUUAAACUAAAAGGAUUUAAUGUACAUGUAAAUUUGAUUUUUCCUACCUUCGUUUUGAACAUCUAAAUUGAAAAUCAGCAUUUUCAAAGCUCCCACUAAUCUUUCAUUAUUAUGUUAAAGAAAUUUUCUCCCCACACCUUUUUUCUUUUUUUUUUUUUUGGGCAGAGCUUUAUAUUAUGAAUCAUUAAAUCACCAAAGGCCACAUAGACGGUCUGAGGUCAAUGUAAUGCACCAUCCCCCAUAACAAAGCUAUAAUGUCUUGUUUGGUCUCUAUACUAUAUUUAGUAGUGUUAUGGCACCUCAGAUAGGGCUGUUACUAUGUAAAUUAGACAGAUAAUGAACACUGUAGAAUUGUUCAUUUAGACCAAUAUUGCAUUACGUGAAUGUACUCAAGAAUUUCUUCACCUAAAUGGGAUCAUAUAAAGGUCAAUGGUUGUAAAAUAAAAGCAUAUAUGUUCUUUUCUGAUUGCAGUUGUAACAUCAUUUUAUAUUUACCUACUUUUAUUUACACAACAGGCCUUCAGGCGUGAGGUGCCCUACAAAUAAAAAAUUACUGUAUUAUUUUUUACGUCGACAGUACUUAUUAAGUCAGUGUCUCAAAAACAAAUUCUGCAGUAAAAUCUGAAAUGGAUCUGAAUGCCACAUAGGCUCAGUCCUACAGUCUUGACUCACAUUGAGUGAUCCCAUUGACAUAACUGAAAUUACCCUUUGCUUUGAUUCAGGCUGGGUGAGGAGGCAAAGUUUGUUGCAGGGAUCUGGACAGAGAAGGGAA